GACGAGGGGUCCUAGCGUUGUCCGGAAUUACUGGGCGUAAAGCGUGCGCAGGCGGCUUCUUAGGCAUGACGUGAAAGCCCCGGGCUCAACCCAGGAGGGUCGUCGUGAACCGGGGGGCUUGAGGCCGGUAGAGGUGGGUGGAACUCCUGGUGGAGUGGUGAAAUGCGUAGAGAUCAGGAAGAACACCCGUGGCGAAGGCGGCCCACUGGGCCGGUACUGACGCUGAGGCACGAAGGCGUGGGGAGCGAACGGG
rnacentral:rRNA from 1 species